rnacentral:rRNA from 1 species
UACAGAGGUCCCGAGCGUUGUUCGGAUUUAUUGGGCGUAAAGCGUGCGUAGGUGGUUCGUUAAGUCUGUCGUGAAAGCCCCGGGCUCAACCUGGGAAUGGCGAUGGAUACUGGCGGGCUAGAGUGCGGUAGAGGAGAGUGGAAUUCCCGGUGUAGCAGUGAAAUGCGUAGAGAUCGGGAGGAACAUCAGUUGCGAAGGCGGCUCUCUGGACCAGCACUGACACUGAGGCACGAAAGCGUGGGGAGCAAACAGG